GAUUGGGGGGUGCCUAUACAUGCAAGUCGAGCGGACAGAUGGGAGCUUGCUCCCUGAUGUUAGCGGCGGACGGGUGAGUAACACGUGGGUAACCUGCCUGUAAGACUGGGAUAACUCCGGGAAACCGGGGCUAAUACCGGAUGGUUGUUUGAACCGCAUGGUUCAGACAUAAAAGGUGGCUUCGGCUACCACUUACAGAUGGACCCGCGGCGCAUUAGCUAGUUGGUGAGGUAACGGCUCACCAAGGCGACGAUGCGUAGCCGACCUGAGAGGGUGAUCGGCCACACUGGGACUGAGACACGGCCCAGACUCCUACGGGAGGCAGCAGUAGGGAAUCUUCCGCAAUGGACGAAAGUCUGACGGAGCAACGCCGCGUGAGUGAUGAAGGUUUUCGGAUCGUAAAGCUCUGUUGUUAGGGAAGAACAAGUGCCGUUCAAAUAGGGCGGCACCUUGACGGUACCUAACCAGAAAGCCACGGCUAACUACGUGCCAGCAGCCGCGGUAAUACGUAGGUGGCAAGCGUUGUCCGGAAUUAUUGGGCGUAAAGGGCUCGCAGGCGGUUUCUUAAGUCUGAUGUGAAAGCCCCCGGCUCAACCGGGGAGGGUCAUUGGAAACUGGGGAACUUGAGUGCAGAAGAGGAGAGUGGAAUUCCACGUGUAGCGGUGAAAUGCGUAGAGAUGUGGAGGAACACCAGUGGCGAAGGCGACUCUCUGGUCUGUAACUGACGCUGAGGAGCGAAAGCGUGGGGAGCGAACAGGAUUAGAUACCCUGGUAGUCCACGCCGUAAACGAUGAGUGCUA
rnacentral:rRNA from 1 species